UAAAAGGCAAACUCUUAGUUUUCGUGUCCAACUUUAACUGUCCAUCUUAUAUAAAAUAUUUUUAUAAUUCGUAUUUUCAUUGUUGUUAGAUGAUAAAACAUGAUUAAUAUUUUAUGCGUGACUUGUCUUUUUAAUUUUUUUAAAUAAGACGGACGGUCAAACGUUGAACACGGAAAUCAGAGUUUGUCUUUUU
rnacentral:pre_miRNA from 1 species